AUACAGAGGGUGCGAGCGUUAAUCGGAUUUACUGGGCGUAAAGCGCGCGUAGGUGGCUAAUUAAGUCAAAUGUGAAAUCCCCGAGCUUAACUUGGGAAUUGCAUUCGAUACUGGUUGGCUAGAGUAUGGGAGAGGAUGGUAGAAUUCCAGGUGUAGCGGUGAAAUGCGUAGAGAUCUGGAGGAAUACCGAUGGCGAAAGCAGCCAACUGGCCUAAUACUGACACUGAGGUGCGAAAGCAGGGGGAGCAAACAGGAUUAGAUGCCCUGGUAGUCCAUGCCGUAAACGAUGUCUACCAGCCGGUGGGGGAUUUGAUCCUUUAGUGGCGCAGCUAACGCGAUAAGUAGACCGCCUGGGGAGUACGGUCGCAAGACUAAAACUCAAAUGAAUUGACGGGG
rnacentral:rRNA from 1 species